ensembl:rRNA 5S_rRNA 5S ribosomal RNA
GUCUACGGCCAUACCACCCUGAACACGCCCGAUCUCGUCUGAUCUCAGAAGCUAAGCAGGGUCGGGCCUGGUUAGUACUUGGAUGGGAGACCAUUUGUAAACUUGAUUCUGGUGAAA